GAGGGAGCUUCUGCUGUAUGGCUGUGUUCUGUUCCCCAGGGCUUAGAACCUAAAGAUUAAAGCUGUCUGCCUGGAUACCAACCACCCAACUUCAGAAAUGGCUGCAUUUUAUUAGUGGAUGAAAUGAUUUUUAUAUGCCAGGAGCUGAUAAAAGCACUUUGAGGCUCAUGAUACAUAUGCUGCUGAUCUUCAGUCUCACAUUUCCUUCUGGGGGACUCCCACACACAAUCUAUUCUUUGAAGCAUGGAAAAUUUUGUAAGGCAGGAUUCAUCGAACUGUGGGGGCACAGAACAGAAGAUCCAAUCCAAAUGUAAGGGUGUUUUUUUCCAAUGACUUCAAUCAGAGCAGGAUUGCGCCACCACUAAGAAGACCUUCAUAAAGACCCUGGGUGCUGUUGCCAGACCCAGGCAGUGGAGAAAGAGAAACUCUAUAGUGUAGCCAAAGUGGAUAUCCUCUGUUAUACGUCUCCAGUUGUGGACACAGAAUGCUAGAUGGCCACCAAAACAGACUUCAGAAACAGGUGAGAGCAGGAAAGAGAAGACCUCCUUCCACCACAGUUCAGUCUGGAAGCAGAAUCAGGAAGAAAGCAAGGAGGUGGCACUGGAAGAAAGAGACCGAAUAAAUGUACUUGAGCUACCACCAAGGAUCAUCUCUUGAAGACAGUGCAGGUACUAUCACUGUAGAAGACAAAAGAAGUCAAUUUUGCAAGCUUUGCUUUGCACCUAGCAGAAAUUAAAGUCCCUGUUGUCAAUCUAUCUCCCAACUGCCUUUGUACUCCAGACAGGAUGAACCCUGUUCCCACCCUACACCUGGUGUGGAGUACAUCCUCCAAAUGAGGAGCAGAGCCAAGGUUCCACCCAGUCUGUGCCUUACGUGUGAGGUGAGACAUAGGUUCCUCUCCUCUCCACCCUUAGACAAUAUGCGUACCUGGUGCUGGGGCAUAAGGACACCUUGCACCCCAGGCAUUAUCUGGUUUUAACUGAAGUUCUCAUGUUCCACUGUAUUCUGCUUUGUGUAAAAUUAUAGCAGGUUGCACAUUUUAAGCUCAGACAUAACUGGGCUUCAUUUUUAUUUUUUUAUCUGAAACCCUUUGUGUACUCAGUUAAGGUCACUUGGAUUUCUAGCUCCCUAUUGCCCACUUGAAUCAAGUACUUUGGUAUCAAAGUGACCUUAAUUUCAGCCACAAAUAGAUGCAGGCUCAAAACUGCAAUUGCACUUAUUUGUGAUUUGCAAUUUACUGGUAGAGACUAGCUUUACAAAAUCUGGCUUUUCAUUUACAAGCAAAUGAUAGGCAUUUAUUCAAAGAGUUGAAUUGAUCCUGAUAGCUUUUUAGU